AAACGAUUUGAAUAUUAAAUUAAAACAAUUAAAGUACCGAGGUUUGAAAUUAUUGAAAGUUUAGUUGAUGUUGCUUACGAGCUCAUUGUAAGAAGGCCCAAGAGUAAGCCAUGUGAGGAAAGCAACAAAUACAAAAUUAUAUUUUACAAAAUAAUCAAAAAUCGAAUCAAAAAGAGUAAAAUCGGGAUUUACACGGAUUAAAAUCGGGAUGCGAAGAUGCGAAUCAAGGUCACAUAACGCAAAGACGUGCAAGGCGGGUAGAAAUUGAGCAACAAACAAACAAACAAAAACCUAUAUAAUGUGCUUAAAGCCGGUUUGCGCAUAUUGACAACAAUCGAAAUGUCAUAUGAGAUUGAUCAAACGCGGCGAAAUACUAUCAAUAUAUCGAUGAAAUAAUCAUGGAAUAACAACAUGGGAACUGUUGAAUCCAGAGAUUGAAACUCGAUGUUUAAUCAAUAAAAUAAAUUAAAGACAAACAUUAAAAUCAACAAGUAUCGAAAAAAUGAGAAUAAAAAUAUAAAAAGAAUUAAAAAUAAAAUAACAUAAAAAAUGAAAUAAAUAGAAAGUGGGAUGUACAAGGGUCGAACCAUGACCUAGUGGAAAGUCAAUUGCACCCAUUAAUGUAUAGUAUGAAUUUUAUUAGAAAAAUAGAAACAUGAAGAGAAAAAAAAAAUUAACAAAGACUAUAAAUGUAGCCUAGCAGGAAUUGAACUUGGGACCUAAGCAUUACAAUCUAAAGCUCUUGCCACUCUACCAGAUCUACUUUUCUAACUUUUAUAACAGACAGAAAAUAUAAUAUAAACAAUAUGAUGAAAUAAAAAAAACCAACAAGAAUCAUAGUAGCAGUAAUGCAGUAGCAGUAGUGCAGUAGUGCAGUAACAUGUUUUUUCAAGUUUAUCUUCUUCAUUCUAACACAAUAAUGAACUAUUUACAAACCACAAAAAUAUUUCCAAAUGCAAAAUGAUUAAUAAAUUUUAAUAUAAAGAAUAAAAAAUCUAAUCUUAACUAAAAUUUAUAAUAAUAAUAAUAAUAACAUAUAAUAAUUCAUAAAACAUAUUAGAAAUAAAAUAAAUAAUAAGAUAAAAAGAAAAAGAAAAAGAAAAAAAAUAUUAGUUUGAGUUUCUUAACGAAAUCAAAUCCCAAUGCCGGAAAACGAAGAAAAACAACAACUUCAAGUCGAAAUCAAAAUGCUCUCUCUCUCUCAACAAAUAUAUGAAAACGACGAUACAGAGUGAUACAAAAAUGCAAACAUGGGAAAGGAACAAGAAACAAACCGGCAGAAGGCGAAGUUUGGUGGUGAUUUCGUACGCGGUUUCCAGAAUGGAGGGUGUUGGAUUAGGAAGCUUCGGAGGUGGUUGUACGUAGUGAUUUGGAGGUGGGUUAGAAUGUGGUUGUAUGGAAGGAGGCGGAGGUGAGCCGGUGCCUAUGGUGGAGGUUUGUUAAGGUUGUAUUGAAGAUGCAGUUUGUUACCGUCUGAAGAAAGCAAACCAUGAAAGGGAAAAAAGAGUAGGUCUUUUGAAAAGUGGAAGGAAAUGUGUGAGUUGAAAUAGAAUAAAGUAAAAGUUUUUUUUAAAAAAAGUUGUUUCUCUCCCUCCCCAAAGAAACUUGUUCUGCGUUUUUUCCACUGCAUUCAAUAAGGGAGGAUAGUAUUAAUUUAUUUUAUUUAUUUUCUUGUGGGUCAUGUGUUGGCUAAUGAGACAGAAAUACAAUGGGUGGAAUUGUGAAUUGAUGAGAGGUGUCAGACGAGUGUUGGAGAGAAUGAGGAGGUAUCCAAUGUGAGUGGUCCUUUUCCAUUCUCCUUUUUGUCAUUUUUUCAUGAGGAAAAGUUUGGAUAAGAUGCUCUCUGUUGCUAGCUGGCAGAGAUUGUUAUGAGGAGAGAAAUUUUUUCAAAACUAGUGAGGACACACGUCCAUUAUUGAAUGGGUGAGAAAAGAUAUUUAUUUCUUUCAUUUUUUUGAUAAAAUUAAUUAAACAAAUAUAACUUUAAAAAAACUAAUUAAAAAUAAAUUACACAAUUAAAAUUCAAACAAACAUACACAAUAAAUUCUAAAAAAAUGGCUCGAUCUAAAAAAAUGGCUCGAUUAUUUUGGCUAAAAGCGGAAAUAAACGGAUUAAAAAUGAAUAAAAAUCGGGCACAAAAAAUACCCAAAAAAUAAAUUGAAUGCAUUAAAAUGAUCAGUGUGAAAUAAACUUAUUGAAAAAAUACAGCGUUUCUUUUAAUUUUGAAAUAAAUUUUGACCGGUUAAAAGGCUCAGGCGGGUAAAAAGGUGAUCGAAAAAUUAGCCGAAAAAUAAAUCGAGCAUACCAGAUUAAACUACGCGAAACAUAGAUUAAUAAAACUGGUGUUUGCAAGCUUGAUUUAAAAAAAUUCCGUCUACUGAUUUGUCACACAUUUGGCGAUUAAUUCAACCGGUUCGCCUGUAAUUCCAAAAAAUUAUUUCGACUGAUAUUCUAGGCUCUAUGCAAUAUGGAGUGCAUGUUACGCUAUGUAUAGAUGCAAUAGCUAUGAUGAAUGUGUUAAAUCAGCAAUUCAGGGUCAAAAUCAGGGUAUGACAUUACUAAAGGCGAAUUGGUUAACAAACAAACACUAUCAUUAAUCAAGCAAAAAUUGAAGGAAAAGAAGCCUGAAAGUACCUGAAGGGAGCUUCGCUGGCGACAACUUAAACUCCAGAGAGUUUGUAAAAGCUCAGGUAUGCUUAUAUCUUUUAUUUUAUUUUUACUUUCUUAUACUUCUAUUCCUCAUCUUCUACUAUCAAUCUCUUUUAAUACUUUUUGUUUCUCUGUUUACUUCUCUUUGUAUGAUGCCACUUUUGUGUUAUUGAUGAUGGAGUUUAGCUCAAGUUUGAUUAGAGCUUCAAUAUGAAUCUCUAACAGCUAUAGAGGAGAGCUUUUAUGUGAAGGUUUUGGGAGCUCAUAUUUUGCUUCAGAAUGUGAAGAUGGUGUUUUGUGGCAACUGAAUAUUGUAGGAUAGCUUAACUUAUAUAGUUGUAAAUUAGGUUUACGUGUAAAUGUAUGAGGCUUGACUCAAGUGUGUGACCCAAUAUAUUUUGAGUGAGAUUCGUGUGAGUGGCAGCAUGAAUUGUGUGAGGAUUAUGAGCUAUUAAGGAGAUAAGGAUGAGUGUGGGAUGUGAAUUAUUUGUGUGAAGAAUUAUUUUGUUGAUUUUGUGGGGAAUGGGAGCAAAUCGUGAGUGAUGUUGAGAAGGGUCCAUGUUCAAGUUUUUUCUUUUGUAUAAUUUUUAAUGUGAUUAUGUACUAUAUAACACUUGAAUAAUGGAAUAAAAUUCAGUUUGUAUUAUUCUUCUUUGCAAUUUAUUUUAUCUUAUUCAAUUUUGAAUUUUUAUGGUAGUGUUAUGAUCAUGAAAGUAUGAAUCUAAUUUACCCUUAACUUGAACCUUUGAAUGAAAAUAAACUUGAAUUUGAAUUUUGAAAAGUUGAGUUGUAAUUUGGAUAAAUGGAAAAGAUGACGAUGAUGUAAACUUGUGAAUGAAAAUGGACUUCAAAACUCCUCUUGAAUUCAAAUUGAUCUUUUAUUUUCUUCUUUUACAUAUUCAUUUGGUUUGUGAUUCAUGAUGAUGAUGGUGAUCAUGAAUGGAGAAGAAUUAAGACACAUUGAAAUUAAAUCCAAUUUAUUCGUUUUGCUUUUAAAUGAUAUGAUAUGAAUGGGAUGAAUGCCAGAUACAAAUUAAAAUAUGAAAACGGAUGUUACCAUCUUACAUACUAAGUUUCAAACUUAUUUGACUUUUUGUUGACUUUUUUCUCAAUGAAACUUCUAAUGCAAGAAAUCCUCUAUGGAUGGUCCAAAAGAAAACUAAAUUAAAAUGACAUGAAUAGAUGCAUAAUAUGGUGAGCUAAGAUACAAUGGGAUGUGAUUGGAAAAUGUUCACCAUUUAAGUUGAUUUUUUUAUGCAAAAUGACCUAAAUGGAACAAUGUUAUACACAUGAUAAAUGUGUGAAAUGAGCAAAAGGGAAAUUGGAAUAUGACACCUUCUACUGACGAAGACAAAGGUAUAGCCAAUUUCUCCAAACUUCACCCUCAUAAGCAUCCUUCUAAUCACGACAACAAAUCCUUUAACUCUGGGCAUGGUAGAAGCAAUAAAGUAUAUAGCUAUUGUAAUAAAACUGGUCACACCAUUGAGGUUUUCUUCAAAAAAAACAUGGAUUACCUCCUUACCUCAAGGAAACAAGCAACAAUCAAGCCAAUCUGGUCACGGAUAACUUAGAAACCAACCAAUAUAUUGAUAUUGGUGGACAACAAAGUACUGCAAGGAUUACUCACUUCACUGCAGACCAACACAAAGCAUUGCUAGCACUUUUGCAAUAAUCUACCACUCUUACUUCCCUUAACAUUUAACAUUAAGCACUUUAAACAAUAAUACAUGUAUUUUUUCUACACCCUCUUUUUUUAUCAAUCUCAUCCCUGGAUUCUUGACACGGGGGCCACCGACCAUGUGUGCCAUAGUCAAUCUUUAUUCCAAAAAUUAGUUAUCAUACCAAAACUUAUUGUUAAACUUCCCAAUGGUGCUAGUAUUACCACCAAUAAAGUUGGAACCAUUAUCUUCAAUGAUAACUUUUACCUUAACAAUGUUUUACACAUUUCAGAUUUUUUCACAAAUCUCAUAUUUAUCCCUAGAAAUACUAAGUCCUUAAAUUAUAGGGUCAUGUUUAAUGCUGAUAAUUAUAUCAUACAGGAGAUCCUCUCCAAGAGGAUGAUUGGUGCAAUUAAACUCCACCUAGGGAUAUAUUACUUAACCAUUCUCAAUCAAGUGUCCCCCUUUAAGUUUCCCAAUCACACUAGUUCUUAGAUUCACAAUGUUAGCAAUUGUAAUAUUUAACAUUUACACCUACGACAUCCCUCUAAUAUUGCUGCUUCUUGCAUAAAUAAAAAAAAUUCCUUUACGUAAAUUUUCUCCAACUGCUUUUUCGCGUGAUUCGUGUUUUUUAGCUAAACAUAAAAGGUUGUCUUUUCAAAACAUUUAAUCUCAUGCUUCUAAUGGUUUUGAUCUCAUUUACAUGGAUAUACGGGGUCAUACUCCAUUCAUUCCAUGCUAAGGUUUAAAUAUUUACUUACCAUUAUUGAUGAUCAUAGUAGAUAAUGUUGGAUAUAUCUCAUGCGCUUAAAAUCUAAAACUUCUUCACAUGUUAAAUAUUUUAUAUAUCUCAUUCAAACUCAAUUUCAUAAAACUAUAAAAACUAUAAGGACCGAUAAUGGCCUUGAGUUGUUUCUGUCAGACUUUUAUGCCAAACAUGGAAUUCUAAAUAAGACAUCUUGUGUUGAUACACCGCAACAAAACGACAUUGUUGAGCGGAAACAUCAACACCUUUUAAAUGCAGUUGGAUAUUUGAAUUUUCAAUCUAAUCUUCCCAAAAUAUGUUGGGUUGAUGUCCUCAUUCAUGUUGUUUACUUGAUAAAUAGGAUCCCUUCUAAGUUUUUACAUCACAAAUCUCCUUAUUUUCUCAUGCAUAAUACCAUGUCUGACUAUUCUUUGCUAAAAGUGUUUGGAUGUUUAGUCUAUGUCGCUACCCUUAAAUAUGGUAGAACUAAAUUCCAUUCUAGAAAUAGGAAAUGUAUUAAUUAUUGGACAUAAACGGGGAGUCAAAUGUAUUGUCCUCUUCGACCUCCAAAAUCAAUAAAUUUUCAUAUAAAGAGAUAUUUUUUUCUACGAAAAUAUUUUCCCUACAACUCCAAACCUCUCACUCAUAACCUUUCAACAUCUCUCAUUCACCAUUAAAUACCUCAUGUUCAAAGCUUCUUCCUCCACUCUUUUAUCAGAUUUAUUGAUUCCGAUUAGGGGUCAUGUGAUGCAACUAGAAGAUCAACAACCGGAUAUUGCUUCUACAUUGGAUUAUCUCUUGUAUACCGGAAAAGCAAGAAACAACGCAUAGGAUUUAGAUCUUCGUCCGAAGCGGAAUAUCCUGCAUUUGCAAAUGCAAUUUGUGAAGCACAAUGGUUAUUAUACCUUCUUCUAGACCUCAAAAUUCAACACAACCAACCAAUCAAUUUGUUAUAUUCCGUGACAACCAAUCAACAAUACACAUCGCCAAACAAUCCAGUAUUCCACAAACAUAUGAAACAUGUAAAAAUGAAUGGUCAUAUUGUUCCCAAAAAAGUACAAGUCACAAUUAUUCACUUAAUGCCUAUUCAAUUCUCCAAGCAAGUGGUUGAUAUAUUCGAUAAAAACCCUCCACCAUGGGCCUUUUAGUUUUUUAGCUGCCAAAUUCAGAAUGCAUAACAUACAUUCAAGUUUGAGGGGGUAUUAGCUAAUAUAAUAUAUAAUUUCAAUUAACUAUUUUUUAUUAGUUUUCACUACCUAUUUAGGUACAAUAGUAACGUACUUGCUAAUUAAUAGGAAUAGUUGUUAUUAUCUAGGUGAAUAAAUACACCCCAUCAGAAUUGUAAAUACACGUUUUUCAGAUAAUAUAAAAAGUUUUUUCUUUUAUCAAAGUUUCUUUUUCUUUCUCAUGUGUAUACUAAACAUGAGUUAAUAAUACCAGUGUAGAAACAAUGACAUGGCAUCGAUAAUGAUGUUCUCAUAGAUUUGAAUUUAUUUAUUUUUGGAUUCACAACACUAAUUUCUGAUCAGAAAUAUUUGCGACGUAAACAUUUUUAUAACAAAAACCUAUUAUUUAAAAAAAUAUACAUAAAGGAAACCUAAAAUCUCGCCAACACGAGUCACAUAGUUAAGCCAAAAUUUAAUGUAUAAUAAUACUUAUGCAUGACAGAUGCCACUACUCUAAUUUAUUUUAAAAAGUUGUUUGUAGCUGUAUCUAUAUCAACAUUCACUUUUUUAAAAGACUUUUUUGAUAAUCAAUUUUUUAAAAUUAUAUAUUAAAAUAAUCAUAUUUUCAAUCUAUUUAUCAAAUUAACCAUGUCUAUAAGAGCAUGUGCCACAUACGCAUACAUGUAAAAUGUGAUAGCAUGCGUCAUUAUAAUUGACGCAUGCAUGAAAAUAUAGGAGCAUGUGUCACUAUAAUUGACGAAUGCAAAUGUAGGAGUAUGUGUUACUGUAAUUGAGACAUGUAUGUAAAAAAAAUAAAGAGUAAUCACAUGCAUGUGUCAAUGGCAGUGAUGCAUGCUUCUAUAUUUACAUGCAUAGUCAAUUGUAGUGGUGUAUCCUCCUAAAUUUUAUAUGUAUGUAACAAUUGCAGUGACACUUACUCUUACAUUUUACAUGCAUUCAUCAAUUAUAAUGACAUCUAAAUAUAAAUUGAUCAAUACAUGCGCCAUAACAAAUCACGUCUCAUUUUUUUAUUUUAAAGUGAUUAUAUUAAUAAAUAUUUUAAAAUUAUGAUUAUUUUUAUAUUAUUUAAAAAAAAUUAUUUAAAAAAAAAUCUAACAGAGCAAUUACUCAUUUUAAAAAACUAAAGUAAAAAGAUAUCAAACUUGAAGAAAAGUCACGGGCUUGAGUUUAAUGAACUACCCAGAGUAAUCCGUAUAUAUUAAUUAUUUAUGCACCCUUUCAUAGUUUCAUUGUUGCCUCGCACGUUACAUUCCAAAGAGGGAUAGAUUCUCCAAUAGAUUAGAUCAAUAUUCUAUCACUAGUUAAGAUACCAUAAUAUUAUUAUUAUAUAUUAAACUUUAUAUGAAACAACUUUAUUUACCCAUGCGUGGGUCCAUUUUGUAACGAGGAUUCGAUGAAGGGAAAAGGCCACUUUAUCUUGGCAUUGCAUGCCUUUUCACACAUAGUUUAAAAUUGUUAAUUCGUUUAAUAAAAAGUUAAGAGAUCAAAAGAGAAUCUCCCUAUUGGAUUUUACUUUUGUAUUUCCUAUGAGAAUAUUUUAGAAAUUUUUACAAAAAUAACUCACUUUUUAAAGUAAAUUCUCAAAAUAUCUUUGGUUUUAAUUUUUUUUUCAAACUACCCCACUUUUAAGAGGAGUCGUCAAUUGAAUUGGAGACUCCUCUUAAAAAUUGAAUGGAGGCGCUAAUUGAAUUGGCUAGGGCAGGUGCUCUAGCCAAUUGGAUUGGCGCCCCUGUGUAGGACUUAAGAGGAGGCGUCAAUUCAAUUGGAGCCUCAGUGUAAAAUGCAAUUUUUGUGUUAUAAAUAGAUGCGUUGUGUGAGCCAUUGUUCCACAUCUCAAUUAAUCAUUUGACAAUCAUGUUUGGUGUUCGUCGCCGAUACGGAAAGGUGAUUUAUGCGAGAGACAAACCUCAGAUGCUGAUGAUGUUCUUGAACAUCACUAUGUUCGAUCAACUGAAAAGGGAGUUGGUUCGUUGGUUAGAUGAGAAAAUACCAGAACGGGAAAAAUUAAAAGUAUUGAGAGACUCGACAGUAUCUUUGGUUGGGUGUGAAUGAAGACUGAUAAGGAUGCUAGGGAAAUGAUGUUCGAUCGAGAUGACAUCAAUUUGAUUGUUGUAAUCAGUUAGAAAUAUUUCUAUUUUCAGAUAGCUUAUUUUGUACUGAUGUUUGUUGUGAACCUCGUUGUAACAAAAACUUAAUGAUAUAUAAUGAUUGAAGGUUACAGAAAUACAAUGUUACAAAAAGCUUAAGACCCAGAUGAUGCUCCUCGAUUGGGACAGUUGUUCUUGUUGUGUCCUGGUUGACGACAGAUACUACAUAAUCUUAUCAUUUUAUCUGUGGAAUCCAUCUCUGCCCUGAUACGUGUGCUGUUUGGCCUUCCUUUUUUCUUUCUACGCAUCUCGUCGUUGUGUCAAACUAUAUCACCUUCAUAUGGAGGUCAGUAUUCCUCCAUUGGUAGUACCGAGAAGCUUUGAUUAUAUACAUUCAUGAUAGUGACGGUCUUGUACACAUCAGAUAAUGUUGGUGUAAGCCCUAGAGGCCAAUACUUUUGGUACUUGUAUCGAAUUAUUUGUUAAUAAUAAAAGGCUUUUUCUUUAUUAUGUUUGUUUAAUAAAGUCCCUAAAAUAGCUAGUCCGUUUAAUGUAUCAAGUAUGACUUAAUAAUGAGAUCACAUUAAACAUAAGGACACUAUUCUUAAAGUAUCCGUAGUCAAGCUUUAUUGUGAAGUGGGAUAACAUUAAAGCAUGAAGACUAUUAUGUUUAUAGAUUGAUGAUCACAUCUAAUGGAUCAUGGAUAAAGAGUUAUCAAGUCUUAAACAUAGGUAUGAAUAUUAAGAGUAAUAUUUAUACUGGAUUGACCCGCUAUAAGAAUACUAUAUAGAAUGUUAUGCAAAGUGUCAUAAGUUAUUCUCAUGGUGAUAAUGGUGUAUACCACCCUUUGAUCUGAAACCACUAUGGACCCUAGAUGUAGAGUCGAGGUGCCUUAUUGCUGAUCAAAUCUUAUCCGUAAUUGGAUGACCAUAAAGACAGUUGAUGGGUACUCACGAAGCAUGCUAAGGGACAUGAGUGACCAUAGAUGGGAUUUGCUCAUCCUGCGUAACAGGAUAAAUGUCUAUGGGCCCAAUAUUGAACUGGACAAAGAUGACACGGUCUAUGCCUUGUGUUCAAUAUAGACAUAAGGGCAAAAGGGUAAUUAUACACAUAAUUAUUAUCACAAAAGGAUUUGUCAGAUCACAUGACAUUUUCGUGUCUUGGGUAGCAAUGAUGUGUUGCUAGAUACCGCUCAGUGUUUAUUAUGUUAAAUACGUGAUUAAUGAGAGAUAGAGUAACUAAGGAACACCGUGAGGUACGGUGCACUUAAGUGAGUUGUAGAACAUCGUAAGGUACGGUGUACUUAAGUAGAAUACGAAAUAUGGUAAGGUAUCAUGGGCUUAAGUGAUUUUGACAUAUUAUAAGAUAUGGGCCACAUACACUUAAGUGAGAUUUUUAGCUUGCAGCCCACACAAUGGUUCUAUAAAUAGAACCCUUGUGUAGAAGCAUUCAUUACGGUUGCAUUAUUUUCGUUCUCUCUCUCUCUCUCUCUCUCUCUCUCUCACACUCACUCACUCACUCAAAGCCUUCAUUCGUACCAGCUAGCACUGAGAUUGAAGGAAUCCGUUCGUGUGGACUGAGUAGAGACGUUGUCAUCGUUCAAUGUUCGUGAUCUCUCUGUAGAUCUGCAUCAAAGGUUUUAAUCGUCACAAGAGAUCUGCACCAAAGGUUUCAACCGUCACAAGAGGUAACUAUUCUAUCACUGAUCAUGACCAUUCGAAAGGAUCUCUAAAGGAGAAAUUUUAAAUUCCGUUGCGUUUUGGAUUGCCCUUCUCCUUCAUAUAAAUGGUUGUAAGCGUCUUGACGAGUAUAAGCGCAUGCUGCAAUGACAUGGGAGCAAGGAAUGCGGAAGGCCUGAAAUUUUCCAUAAUCGCACCAACUUCUGUUUAGUCUAACAGCAUAGGCUAAAUUUGGUCUCCCCUCGUUGUGAUCCAUUAUUUCCUGGACGCUGAAAUUUUGCCUAUGACGGUCAAAGACUGUUACAGCGUGUGUGCUAGCUUUGAUGCUCUCCUCUUUCAUGACCUUCAUGCAACACUCACUGAAUACUUGCCCGGACAUUAACACCGCACUCCAUCUUUCACCUCUGGUUGCGAACGUAGAAGCCAACCUAUAAUAGGUCGAUCUUACCAAGGCGGUUAUCGACAGAUUUCGAAUUCCUUUGAAUACCCCGUUCAUGCAUUCCACAAGGUCUGUUGUCAUUUGGCCCCAUCAACAACCUCCGUCAAAUUCCCUUGUCCACUGCUCUACUGGUAUGUUAUUUAGCCAUCUCUCUGCGUCUUUAUUAGACAGUGUAAUUUCAUCACGAUAAUAUUGAAGUGACGGCUGAGUUAGAGCAUACCCAGCAUUCACCAUCUUCUUGCGAAGAUUCUUAUCUUUUAUAGCACGCAUGAAGUUUUGUGAAAUGUGUCUGAUGCAAUAGACAUGGGUAGAAGGAGGAUCAUGCCAUCUGUUGUCAUGGUUGUUGUAGGCACUCUCAAUGGCAGCAUGUCUAUCAGAAAUCAAACAGAGAUUGGCUUGUGGAGCCACAUGCGUUCUACAUCUGUUGUCAUGGUUGUUGUAGGCACUCUCAAUGGCAGCAUGUCUAUCAGAAAUCAAACAGAGAUUGGCUUGUGGAGCCACAUGCGUUCUGAGAUGUCGAAGAAAGAAACCCCAUCCACCAGCCGUUUAACCUUCAACAAGAGUAAAGGAAAUGGGAAAGACAUUGGUGUUUCCGUCUUGUGCAACCGUCAUGAGCAAAGUACCCUUGUAUUUGUCGUAUAACCAAGUGCCAUCAAUUUGAAUAAUAGGUUUGCAAAAUGCGAAACCUUUGAUGCACGGGUCAAAUGCCCAAAGAGACGAUGAAAGAUUCUAUUACCUGUAGCACAGGUUCCGUCUGGCAUCAUCGCUGGUAAUGUCUCCAUAAUUGCCACAGUUCCUGGGACAUAUGUUUUUAGUGCCCAUAAAAACCGUGGAAAUUCCUUGUAUGAAUCCUCCCAGUUGCCGAAAACUUGUUCAACAACCUUUUUCCUCGCAAUCCAGGAUUUCUUGUAAGAUGGAGUAUAAUUAUAUGUUGUUCUGAUAUGGGAUAUAAUUAUACUCACCUUCACGGAUGAGUAUUUAUUAACCAAUGGCAGAAUGUCUUGACAUAUCAACGUUGCGCUUAGUUUGCGGUGAUCUUGUUCAACAUUAGUUGCAAUGCAACUGUGAGGUGGGUCUAUUGAAGCAAUCUCCCAAGAGUCGUUUUUCUUUUUGUAAGACGCAGCCAAAUGAAACUUACAAAGCAUGUUACAAUA
rnacentral:lncRNA from 1 species